GCAUCAAUGGGGUAGUGGUAACCUGGGUCGUUGCCAUCAAUUAUUGCAUGGGUGUCGUGUAUUUCGACCCGCCGGGGGUUCGAUUCCCUCUUGAUGCA